rnacentral:tRNA from 1 species
GGAGAUUUAGCUUAGUGGUAAAGUACUUGCCUUUCAUGCAUAAGACUCUGGGUUCAAUUCCCAGAGCCACCA